rnacentral:rRNA from 1 species
AGUAGUUUGAUCCGUGGCUCGAGGACGAACGCUGGCGGCGUGCUUAACACAUGCAAGUCGAACGAGAAUCCGGGGAAGGAGUUUUCGGACAACGGAACCGGAGGAAAGUGGCGGACGGGUGAGUAACGCGUGAGGAACCUGCCUUGGAGAGGGGGACAACAGCUGGAAACGGCUGCUAAUACCGCAUGAUACGUGAUGGGGACAUCCCUGACACGUCAAAGAUUUAUCGCUCUGAGAUGGCCUCGCGUCUGAUUAGCUGGUUGGUGAGGUAACGGCCCACCAAGGCGACGAUCAGUAGCCGGACUGAGAGGUUGAACGGCCACAUUGGGACUGAGAUACGGCCCAGACUCC